rnacentral:lncRNA from 1 species
UUUCAGUGGCCGCAUUCCUCCGGAGUAUGGAAGAUUCCCGUCUCUAGAGUACCUUGCAGUUUCAGGCAAUGCAUUGGUAGGAGAGAUACCACCGGAGAUUGGAAACAUCGCUACACUUCAGCAGUUGUAUGUAGGAUACUACAAUACCUUCACCGGUGGGAUUCCACCGGCAAUAGGGAACUUAUCGCAGCUCCUUCGGUUUGAUGCUGCUAACUGUGGACUUUCGGGGAAGAUUCCACCGGAGAUUGGGAAGCUUCAGAACCUUGAUACCCUCUUCCUGCAAGUGAAUUCUCUAUCUGGAUCUUUAACUCCGGAGAUAGGUUAUCUGAAGAGCUUGAAAUCUUUGGAUCUGUCGAAUAACAUGUUCUCUGGCGAGAUACCGCCGACAUUUGCGGAGCUUAAGAAUAUCACUCUUGUUAAUCUUUUCCGGAAUAAGCUUUAUGGGUCAAUACCAGAGUUCAUAGAGGACUUGCCGGAACUAGAGGUGUUGCAACUUUGGGAAAAUAACUUUACUGGAAGCAUUCCUCAGGGGUUAGGCACAAAGAGCAAGCUCAAAACUCUUGAUCUCAGUUCCAAUAAAUUAACGGGAAAUUUACCCCCAAACAUGUGCUCCGGUAACAAUCUGCAGACAAUUAUCACUCUAGGGAACUUCUUGUUUGGCCCAAUUCCUGAAUCUUUGGGUAGGUGUGAAUCACUUAAUCGUAUUAGAAUGGGAGAAAAUUAUCUGAAUGGGUCUAUUCCAAAAGGGCUCUUAAGCUUGCCACAUCUGUCACAAGUUGAACUUCAGAAUAAUAUUCUCACUGGUACAUUUCCUGAUAUUUCUUCCAAAUCUAACAGUCUUGGCCAGAUUAUCCUUUCAAAUAAUCGCUUAACUGGACCUUUGCCACCAAGCAUUGGAAACUUUGCUGUAGCCCAAAAAUUGCUUCUUGAUGGGAACAAAUUUUCGGGACGAAUUCCAGCUGAAAUAGGAAAGCUUCAACAGCUAUCCAAAAUUGAUUUCAGUCAUAACAACUUGUCUGGACCCAUUGCUCCGGAGAUUAGCCAGUGCAAGUUGCUGACUUAUGUUGAUCUCAGCAGGAACCAACUUUCGGGUGAGAUUCCUACUGAGAUCACAGGUAUGAGAAUACUCAACUACUUGAAUUUAUCGCGAAACCACUUAGUUGGGAGUAUUCCUGCCCCUAUUUCUAGUAUGCAGAGUUUAACUUCUGUUGAUUUCUCGUAUAACAACUUUUCUGGUUUAGUUCCUGGAACCGGGCAAUUUAGUUAUUUCAAUUACACCUCAUUUCUAGGCAAUCCAGAUCUUUGCGGACCCUAUUUGGGCCCUUGCAAAGAGGGCGUUGUUGAUGGGGUUAGUCAACCUCACCAACGAGGAGCCUUAACGCCUUCGAUGAAGCUUUUACUUGUUAUAGGUUUGCUUGUCUGUUCUAUUGUGUUUGCUGUUGCUGCAAUUAUAAAGGCCCGAUCUUUAAAGAAGGCAAGUGAAGCUCGUGCCUGGAAGCUAACUGCUUUUCAGCGCCUGGAUUUUACUUGUGAUGAUAUUUUGGAUAGCUUGAAGGAGGAUAACGUUAUUGGAAAAGGAGGUGCUGGUAUUGUCUACAAGGGGGUAAUGCCUAGCGGGGAACAUGUAGCGGUUAAGAGGUUGCCAGCUAUGAGCAGGGGUUCCUCUCAUGAUCAUGGGUUCAAUGCAGAGAUACAGACUCUUGGGAGGAUCCGACACAGGCACAUUGUUAGAUUAUUAGGGUUUUGCUCGAAUCAUGAGACAAAUCUUUUGGUUUACGAGUACAUGCCUAAUGGAAGUCUUGGGGAAAUGCUUCAUGGCAAGAAAGGCGGUCAUUUACAUUGGGAUACCAGGUAUAAGAUUGCCUUGGAGUCUGCUAAGGGUCUUUGCUAUCUCCAUCACGAUUGCUCUCCUUUGAUCCUCCAUCGUGAUGUGAAAUCAAACAACAUUCUGCUGGACUCCAGCUUUGAAGCUCAUGUUGCUGAUUUUGGACUUGCUAAGUUCUUGCAAGAUUCAGGGACAUCAGAAUGCAUGUCUGCUAUUGCUGGUUCUUAUGGGUACAUUGCUCCAGGUAUUUUAUAAAAGCCUUCAAUCUUCAUAUCUUGACAUUCUUAGUUUCUAACGUGUUCAAGUUUAUUUUUCUUGUCACAUCAUGCUAUGCGAGUUUACUGCCGAAGUUACAAACUUACUGAUGAACUAAAAUUUAUCAGCUGAGACUAAUUAUCAGUCUGUUAUAAUGAAGCUUAGGUGUUCUAAACGUCGUAAAUGUGCUAUCUUGUAGUCUUGUAUUUCCACAGCUAAUAAUGUUAGGAUAAGUACAACAUUAAGACAUAGAUAGUGGGGGUCCUUGACAAGAGGAUUGGGCCUUUUUACUUUUGAAAAGGAUCUCUAACUACUUCAGUGUUGGUUAGGUUGGAAUUUAUGAAUGCUUAUGUAUCUUGGUAAGUAAGUCAAAUGUGUUGCAUGCUCCUGAAGCAAAGCAACAUUAAAUAAGUGGUACUGGUACUACUAAACUACUCACACUGUUGGAACGGUAAGGGGGAUGUAAAACUUGUUUAGUUAUCUAACAAACUUACUGACUGCAAGCAAUUAUUUGUUCUGCUCUAUUGUCUACUUCUCAUUAGCAUCUUAUUUUCAUUUUUGCAGAAUAUGCUUACACACUUAAGGUUGAUGAGAAGAGUGAUGUAUAUAGCUUCGGUGUGGUGCUACUAGAACUGGUAAGUGGCAAAAAACCAGUUGGAGAAUUUGGUGAUGGUGUUGACAUAGUCCAAUGGGUUAGGAAAAUGACUGAUGGGAAAAAGGAUGGAGUUCUCAAGAUCCUUGACCCAAGACUCUCAACGGUUCCCCUUAAUGAGGUGAUGCAUGUCUUCUAUGUCGCAUUGUUGUGUGUCGAAGAGCAGGCUGUGGAACGUCCCACCAUGCGAGAGGUAGUGCAAAUACUAACGGAACUUCCCAAGCCACCAGGUGCAAAAUCAGAUGACUCAACCGUCACUGAUCAGUCGCCCCCAUCAGCCUCUGCAUUAGAGUCCCCAACCUCAAUUCCCGGGGACACAAAAGACCAUCAUCAACCAACACCUCAAUCACCUCCACCUGACCUACUCAGUAUCUAAUUUGCAAUGUUCUUGAAGUAGGAGUGUUUUAUUUAGUUUGAUUCUCUAGUUCUAUUAUGAUCAAUUGUGCUAAGCUUUAUUCCUUUGUUUUAAAAAAAUUGGGUCUUUCUAGGCUCGGGGGUU